rnacentral:rRNA from 1 species
UACGUAGGGAGCAAGCGUUGUCCGGAAUCAUUGGGCGUAAAGCGCGUGUAGGCGGUCCGGUAAGUCCGCUGUGAAAGUCGGGGGCUCAACCCUCGAAUGCCGGUGGAUACUGUCGGGCUUGAGUACGGGAGAGGCGAGUGGAAUUCCUGGUGUAGCGGUGAAAUGCGCAGAUAUCAGGAGGAACACCGAUUGCGAAGGCAGCUCGCUGGAACGUUACUGACGCUGAGACGCGAAAGCGUGGGGAGCAAACAGG